AAUGAAGUGCCUGAAAAAAGGAUUAUUUUGAUAGAAUAAAUYAYGUAAUUUUAUUACCUUUAUUA
rnacentral:tRNA from 1 species